GACGUAGGGCGCGAGCGUUGUCCGGAAUUAUUGGGCGUAAAGAGCUCGUAGGCGGCUUGGCGCGUCGACUGUGAAAACCCGUGGCUCAACCAUGCGGUCUGCAGUCGAUACGGGCAGGCUAGAAUUCGGUAGGGGAGACUGGAAUUCCUGGUGUAGCGGUGAAAUGCGUAGAUAUCGGGAGGAACACCAGUGGCGAAGGCGACUUCCUGGCCUGUUCUUGACGCUGAGGCGCGAAAGCUAGGGUAGCAAACGGG
rnacentral:rRNA from 1 species